AAAUAUAUACUAUACAAAAUACGACCGCUAUAAAAAAUAUAUGAAAAAUAUUAAAAGUAGAAAAAUAUUAAAAAUGGAAAAAUAUGCUUAAAAUGCUCUGAAAUGCUAUAUUUUGCGCGCUAACUAUGUCUCUCUCCAACUGAAAUCACCCUCAAAGUAAAAUGACGCUAAAUUUCUGCUUUUAUACCCAGUAUUGUGCACGAGCUGACAUUCUGCGUUGACGUGAUUGAACGUUCUCAGGGGCUGUGCUGCGUUGAUGGUCUUUUUUCAUUUAACACGAAGGGGCUCUAACAACUAUUCAAAAAGGGUUGAGAAUCCACACCGUUCCUCUAGCAUAUAUGUUAAAGGAUAAUAGUCACUUUCGUCUGUUAAUUGCUGUAUAAAUGGCUGUGUCUAAUGUUGUUGUGUUGUGUUUUGUUCUUUGUGUGUUAAACAGGAGACCCAAGCAACCAAUGUGCAUAUGCAGAGGUGGCAGAUGAGGUAAUGCAAGUGUUGUAGUUAUGGAGUAUGCUUUCUACGUCUUUGAACUGACAGUGAAAGAAAAAAUGUAAUGUGUCUCACUCACCUUUUGUCUCUUAAAAGGCCCAUUUUCUUGUCUGAUAUUGUUUCAGAUUUCGGCAUAGACAAAACGUAUCGCUUCCGAGGUCGUUUGGCUUCCCUUGGGGUAGAUAGUGCUGGUCGUGUCAACGUGACUGGCUGUGUCGUGGUGAUUGAAGGUAGUGUUUGUCCAUCAUGAGAAACCUUCAAGCUGUGAUGAUCAUUGAAUGUAACAGGACAGCUUCCAGAACUUGCUAAUUGUUGACUGAUGUAGAACUCUUCACAUGUAUUUUCAACACGAGAGUGGGAAACCUUCAAUCAAUGACUUUUCUACUCUCUCUCCCUUUACAUAUAUCUCAAAUAUCUGCAGGCUCAUGAUGUGUGGUAGCGGGACGAGUUGCUGUCCUACAAUGCCUUGGAGAUGACCACAGAGAAGUUGGUUUACAAUGUGAGGUUCCUGAUUUGGAAUCUGGUUCGGAAGACUCUUACUUUGUUCUCCGACCGGACAGUGUCCCUCAAGUUCGAUUUGGAUAGGCCACAGUUUCCCAAGACUUCAUCUUUAUACCUCAACAUUAUUGUCUGCUGUCUUUGACAUCACUCGUACUUUAGAUUCUCUACACUGACCACCACAAGAAUUAAGAUUUGAUAAAUUUAACACUGAAAUGUAAUCUAAACUUUAAGUUGAAUGUUAUGAUGGCUGCCUGGCAGAUGCCUCCUGUAUGAACAAUAUUCUUGUGGUGCCCCCAAACUGUCUGUAAUUGUUUGGUGCCCAUGGACACUGUGGCACUAGCCCUUAUGCCACCUUAUUAGGUGAGCCAUCUUUAUUAUCACAGAGGACCCUCUCACCCCCUCCAUCAACUCCCACCACACCACAGAAUCAAUCUUCUACCACCAACUACAAGAACUCCUCAGCAGAAAGAAUCUCAACAGACAAUAAAGUUUUAAUGUUUAA